rnacentral:lncRNA from 1 species
CGGGCGCUAUGGACAGGAACAUGAAGGAGAACCACGCCGCGUACCCCGGCCGCGCUGCUAAGGUUGCAAACCCCAUUGGGGAUGGUCCCAAACGUGUCCCUGUGUCCCAGCAUUCAGCCCAGAGCCGGUUACUGACCAAGGGAGCUCCAGCACAGCGGGUUCUGUGUCCUGCAAACUUUGCCCAGCGAGUUCCUGUGCAAUCUCAAAAACCUGUACUGUCAACCCAAAAACUGUCCAGUAAUCAAACAACGCAGCAGCUCCGACCCAAACCGCCCCUGCAGGCGACUGUGAGGCCUCAGGCUGCAAGCAAGAGCAGUGAAAAACCUCCCCAAGCUGCAGGACCUGCAAAAAACCCUGAAGCAGAAAGCACCACUAAACAGAAAACUGAAGAGAAUGCUAAGAAGAAAAGUGAGGAGACCAAAAAGAAGAGUGAAGAAACUAAAAAGUAAGUUAUCCCUCAAGUCUAGAUAACUGAGUCCUGCUGGAGUUGGUUUGGUUGUGGAGUUUGGUGACCUCCAGACACAACAGUAGGAAAGCUA